GACUUUUUAUAAUUUGUUUACAUUCAUGACAUUCAUGACAUUAUAGGUAUGAUGGGUAUUAAGUUAAAUCUGCAAGGUACAUGUAACCCUUUCAUGCAUUUACAAACAUUUGUAUAUAUACAUUGUGUUGGGCGGAAAAAAAGGGAACAAAUUUUGCAUACUAUGAUUAAUACUGGACAAUAAAAGGCUAUUGGAAAGUCGUAAAUCUCUACAAAUAAAUUCAGUAAUGUUAGGGGAAGUGUACUUUAGAUGUGAAGUAAAUAUUUAAAAGCAGGUAAACAUGGUAAAAGUGCCAAAAACACGUCUGAAUUAUGUGUAAACAAACUUCAAGUCGGUAAGUGUCAUAUUUAUUGGACCUAUACAUAUUUUAUUUUACACAUGUACCUUUAAUAUACCAGUACAUGUACACAUGUUGUGGGGGUCUUACAGUUCAACUUAUUUCCUCAUUUUACAGUGGCAUUGAAAUUGGUAAUUCCCAAUCCAGUUGAACCACUGUUGCUAGCAUUUAGUGUUAAUUUGUUAAUAUCCAGAAAGAGGGGCGAAAGAUAUGAUAGGGUUUAGUAUUAAUUUGUGAAUGUCCUGAAAGAGGGCAAAAGAUACCAAAGGAACAGUCAAACUCAUAGAUUGAAAACUAAACUGGCAAGGGAGCUGGGC
rnacentral:lncRNA from 1 species